GAUGAACGCUGGCGGCGUGCCUAACACAUGCAAGUCGAGCGGAUGAACGAAACUCUUGCUUCUCUUCUGUUACCGGCGGAUGGGUGAGUCACACGUGUCUAACCUAUCUUUAAGACUGAGAUCCCUUCGGGAAACCUAAUCUCAUAUCGGUUCAUAUUUUGAACCUCAUGGUUCAUCAGUGCACACCGUUCUUGCUGUCACUUAUUCAUGUAUCCUCGCUGCAUUAGCUAGUUGGUAAGGUAACGGCUUACCAAGGCGACGAUGCAUAGCCGACCUGAGAGGGUGAUCAGCCACACUGGAACUGAGACACGGUCCAGACUCCUACGGGAGGCAGCAGUAGGGAAUCUUGCGCAAUGGGCGAAAGCCUGAUGGAGCAACGCCGCGUGAGUGAUGAAGGUCUUCGGAUCGUAAAACACUGUUAGUAGGGAAGAACAGAUGUGAAAGAAACUGUGCAUAUCUUGACGGUACCUAAUCAGAAAGCCACGGCUAACUACGUG
rnacentral:rRNA from 1 species